AGAGUUUGAUCCUGGCUCAGAACGAACGCUGGCGGCGUGGAUUAGGCAUGCAAGUCGAACGAUAUCCUGGGCAUCCAAGUAGCAAUAUGAGGAUGUCCAGGUGACAGUGGCGAAAGGGUGAGUAACGCGCGGGUAAUCUGCCCUCAAGUUGGGGAUAGCUCUGCGAAAGCGGAAUUAAUACCGAAUGUGGUUGUGGCGCACAUGCGCCCAUUAUCCAAAGCCGGGGACCGCAAGGCCUGGCGCUUGAGGUUGAGCCCACGUACUAUCAGCUUGUUGGCGAGGUGACGGCUCACCAAGGCUAUGACGGUUAGCUGGUCUGAGAGGAUGGUCAGCCACACUGGGACUGAGACACUGCCCAGACUCCUACGGGAGGCUGCAGUCGAGGAUCAUUCGCAAUGCGCGAAAGCGUGACGGUGCGACGCCGCGUGCAGGAUGAAGGCCUUCGGGUCGUAAACUGCUGUCAUGAGGGAACAAUGUCCGGGAUGUGAAUAUCGUCUCGGGGUGAUAGUACCUCAAGAGGAAGCCACGGCUAACUCUGUGCCAGCAGCCGCGGUAAUACAGAGGCGGCAAGCGUUGUUCGGAUUUACUGGGCGUAAAGGGUGCGUAGGCGGUUCUGUGUGUCGGACGUGAAAUCUCACAGCUCAACUGUGGAAUUGCAUUUGAAACUACAGGGCUGGAGUACAGGAGAGGAGAGCGGAAUUCUCGGUGUAGCGGUGAAAUGCGUAGAUAUCGAGAGGAACACCGGUGGCGAAGGCGGCUCUCUGGACUGAUACUGACGCUGAGGCACGAAAGCUGGGGGAGCAAACAGGAUUAGAUACCCUGGUAGUCCCAGCCCUAAANCGGUGUGCACUUGGUGUGGGGAGGAUUGUCCCUUCCUGUGCCGGAGCUAACGCGUUAAGUGCACCGCCUGGGGAGUACGGUCGCAAGAUUAAAACUCAAAGGAAUUGACGG
rnacentral:rRNA from 1 species